GGUGAUCAUAUUUUUAAACAAAUGGGUACAGAGUUUCUAUCAAUGUUUCUUUGGGGUUUGGGGAUGGUGGCCACAUAGAGAUGAUUGCUCAUAUAAAGUCAGUGCUGUUUCCUCAUUUAGACUGCUGGAGGUGUCCCAUGGCUGUCUUUAUAGUGCUGAAGUUUUUGAUAGCUUUGGUGAUUUAGUGACAGCUCUGAACAAGAGAGAAAGCAUCCCACCCAAGCACCUAUUCACAGGUGACCCAUGGAAAGACAAUAAAGAGGUCUACAGUCUGGGAUUCUGCCAAUCAGUCUUCUUCACACACUUCAUCUUCCUUUUGUGA
rnacentral:lncRNA from 1 species